rnacentral:rRNA from 1 species
CAGUAGCCACGGGAAUACGGAGGGGGCUAGCGUUGUUCGGAAUUACUGGGCGUAAAGCGUGCGUAGGCGGCUUCUUAAGUCGGAUGUGAAAUCCCUGAGCUUAACUUAGGAAUUGCAUUCGAUACUGGGAAGCUAGAGUAUGGGAGAGGAUGGUAGAAUUCCAGGUGUAGCGGUGAAAUGCGUAGAGAUCUGGAGGAAUACCGAUGGCGAAGGCAGCCAUCUGGCCUAAUACUGACGCUGAGGUACGAAAGCAUGGGGAGCAAACAGGAUUAGAUACCCCUGUAGUCCCUGUCUCUUAUAC